rnacentral:lncRNA from 1 species
CAAAAACUCAGGAGUGGAGACUGGCUGAGGUUUGGCCCACCUCCUCCCUUAGGAAGACAGAUCUCCGCCUGCAGCUGCUGGACGUGAAGAACAACCCGUACCUGAUGAAGGCCCUGUACGGCCUGCUCAUGCUGCUGCCCCAGAGCAGUGCCUUCCAGCUGCUCUCCCACCGGCUCCAGUGUGUGCCCAACCCUGAGCUGCUGCAGACCGAAGACUGUCUAAAAGCUGCCCCCAAGUCCCAGAAAGGUGACUCGCCCAGCAUCGACUACACAGAGCUGCUGCAGCACUUUGAAAAAGUCCAGAAACAGCACCUGGAAGUAAGACACCAGCGCAGUGGACGUGGGGAUCACCUGGACCGCAGAGUUGUCCUCUGAUGUGCCUAGCAUGGAAAAGGGCCCUAGUGGCCUAAGAAGUACUCAGGGUCUCUAGGCUGAGGCCACAAGGAGCCUGAGAACCUGCCUCCAGUAGGGCUGGACCUGACCACCAGUCCAGGGUAGGGAGGGGGACAGUCUUGGCUCUGUCAGCCCCAGCUCUUCCCAGCAGAGCACUUGGACCCCAGCACUGUCAGCUACACCCUGGCUUGGGAUCGAUGGCUUCUCUCCUGAUUUGGACCACAGCCUUAGGAUCCAGAAGCAGCCUCUUUCUAAUCCCUGUCUGUGAGAAGAGCUUGACCUUGUCCCCGGCCCCAGAGCACUGUCAUGGUGUGUAUGCAUAUGCACAUCUGUGCAGAUAAUGCACACAGGCCAGCACAAAGACCUCUACAGAAUGAUGUUCACCCCUGCCCCAAUAAAGAAAUGACAGAAUCCUUA